AAGUCGUAACAAGGUAUCCGUAGGUGAACCUGCGGAUGGAUCAUUAACAAUUAGUAUUCAUACUAACAACACUUGUGAACUGUAUGGGAGCUUACACUCUCACUUUAUUAUUUAUUUUAUACUGAAACAAUGAUAUAUAACAAUCAUAAAACUUUUAGCAACGGAUCUCUAGGCUCUU
rnacentral:misc_RNA from 1 species